GAAAGAAAACAUUUGAUUGGUUGUCAUGGGUUACUGGCCAGGUGCAAUUUUGCCCAGUGUUUAUAAAUUACCCCCUCUGAGUAGUUAAGAAACUCUAAUGAUAUCUUAUAGGGCAUAGUUGUGCUUCUAACAUGCUGGCACCAACGGGCUAUGAGUUUUGAAAUACAAACUACACAUGUCAUAGGCUGCUACUAUCCUAAUGCCAAGGAAUUGAGUGGCAUAUAAUAUUUGCCUCUAAUUAGCCGAAAAGCCUGAGCCUCUGUAUGAAUUUUCUUAUAGUGUCUAUUAAUUAAAUCUUUUUAGUGUGAAUUGAUUACGUGUAACGAAUUGUCCAAUAUUCGUAUCUUGUAAGUCUUUGAUUUAUAUUCAUGAAUUGUUACUUUUGAAUUAAGGUUUUUAAUGUGUGAUUAUAAAUGAAUAUUUGAUGUGCUCUUGCUUGCUUGGGUUUUCCACUGAGAAAUAAAUAACUUUUUGACUAUUUAUACAACUGAAUGUGGAUUAAGAGUCUGAGCUUUCUUUAAAAUUGAAUAAAUGCGAUUAAUUUUUGUGAUUAGUUUAAGUGGCUAAACUGAGCUAAAUAUUAGCAGGAGUGUAUUCAUGUCACAAAUAAUGUAUUAAAUAAUAAUGUAUUAAAUAAUUAUGUAUUAAAAGAAGCACUUGAAAGCAAGAUCUUGGAGGGUGAGAACUCUGGCACCUUUGCAAGUGAGGAGACUGGAGAGUCACUUCAGGGGAGAUUCCUGAGGAUCAGAUGAACUGUCCAGUGUAAAGAGGAAAACCAUUUUAAUGUAUGAAGAAAUCAACAUGGAAUCCAGUGGGACAUGGAAUAAAGGAAGGUUGUAUGUAUGAUGAUGUGUAUGAAGAGCACUGGGAUCAGGACCGUUGCAGUAUUAGCAGGGAGCUAUGUACCUAUUUCAUCACAGCUGUCGAAAUGAUGUGGGAUCACGGGUCAGAGAUGUCACCUUGACUGUGAAAAAAUGAAGGAGUAUCACAGAAGGCGACCACUUCAGCACCAACGGGAGGAAAGAAUGUGAUCCUAAUAACCCGGCACAGCUCUCUCCAGAGCCAGAAUAUGCCAGUAAGAAGCAGAAGAAAGCAAAGGAUAAAGCAGAAGUGAUAGAAUUGAGAUCAGAAGACAGAAGAAGACAAGACGUUUCCCCGGGACACUCUCAUGGCUGCUUGCAACUGCCUGGUGGGGAAUCAUU